AGUGAACGCUGGCGGUAGGCCUAACACAUGCAAGUCGAACGGCAGCACAGUAAGAGCUUGCUCUUACGGGUGGCGAGUGGCGGACGGGUGAGGAAUACAUCGGAAUCUACUUUUUCGUGGGGGAUAACGUAGGGAAACUUACGCUAAUACCGCAUACGACCUACGGGUGAAAGCAGGGGCUCUUCGGACCUUGCGCGAUUGAAUGAGCCGAUGUCGGAUUAGCUAGUUGGCGGGGUAAAGGCCCACCAAGGCGACGAUCCGUAGCUGGUCUGAGAGGAUGAUCAGCCACACUGGAACUGAGACACGGUCCAGACUCCUACGGGAGGCAGCAGUGGGGAAUAUUGGACAAUGGGCGCAAGCCUGAUCCAGCCAUACCGCGUGGGUGAAGAAGGCCUUCGGGUUGUAAAGCCCUUCUGUUGGGAAAGAAAAGCAGCAGGUUAAUACCCCGCUGUUCUGACGGUACCCAAAGAAUAAGCACCGGCUAACUUCGUG
rnacentral:rRNA from 1 species